AUUGAACGCUGGCGGCAUGCCUUACACAUGCAAGUCGAACGGCAGCGCGGGAGCAAUCCUGGUGGCGAGUGGCGAACGGGUGAGUGAAGUAUCGGAACGUGCCCAGUCGUGGGGGAUAACGUAGCGAAAGUUACGCUAAUACCGCAUACGAUCUAUGGAUGAAAGCGGGGGAUCGCAAGACCUCGCGCGAUUGGAGCGGCCGAUAUCAGAUUAGGUAGUUGGUGGGGUAAAGGCUCACCAAGCCGACGAUCUGUAGCUGGUCUGAGAGGACGACCAGCCACACUGGGACUGAGACACGGCCCAGACUCCUACGGGAGGCAGCAGUGGGGAAUUUUGGACAAUGGGCGAAAGCCUGAUCCAGCCAUGCCGCGUGCAGGAUGAAGGCCUUCGGGUUGUAAACUGCUUUUGUACGGAACGAAAAGGUUUGGGCUAAUAAGCUGAGCUCAUGACGGUACCGUAAGAAUAAGCACCGGCUAACUACGUGCCAGCCGCCGCCGUAA
rnacentral:rRNA from 1 species